rnacentral:rRNA from 1 species
CUUGUUGGCGGGGUAACGGCCCACCAAGGCGACGACGGGUAGCUGGUCUGAGAGGACGACCAGCCACACUGGAACUGAGACACGGUCCAGACUCCUACGGGAGGCAGCAGUGGGGAAUCUUGCGCAAUGGGCGAAAGCCUGACGCAGCGACGCCGCGUGGGGGAUGAAGGCCCUCGGGUUGUAAACCCCUUUCGGCAGGGACGAAGCGAACGUGACGGUACCUGCAGAAGAAGUCCCGGCUAACUACGUGCCAGCAGCCGCGGUAAGACGUAGGGGACGAGCGUUGUCCGGAUUCAUUGGGCGUAAAGAGCGCGUAGGCGGCUGCGCAAGUCGGAUGUGAAAAUCCGGGGCUCAACCCCGGACCUGCAUCCGAUACUGCGCGGCUAGAGGUAGGUAGGGGAGAUCGGAAUUCCUGGUGUAGCGGUGAAAUGCGCAGAUAUCAGGAGGAACACCGGUGGCGAAGGCGGAUCUCUGGGCCUUACCUGACGCUCAGGCGCGAAAGCUAGGGGAGCGAACAGGAUUAGAUACCCUGGUAGUCCUAGCCGUAAACGUUGGGUGCUAGGUGUGGGUGGACAUCGACCCCAUCCGUGCCGAAGCUAACGCAUUAAGCACCCCGCCUGGGGAGUACGGCCGCAAGGCUAAAACUCAAAGGAAUUGACG